rnacentral:rRNA from 1 species
UACGUAGGGGGGCAAGCGUUGUCCGGAUUUAUUGGGCGUAAAGAGCGUGUAGGCGGCCAAACAGGUCAGCUGUGAAAACUCGAGGCUCAACCUCGAGACGUCGGUUGAAACCGUUUGGCUAGAGUCCGGAAGAGGAGAGUGGAAUUCCCGGUGUAGCGGUGAAAUGCGCAGAUAUCGGGAAGAACACCCGUGGCGAAGGCGGCUCUCUGGGACGGUACUGACGCUGAGACGCGAAAGCGUGGGGAGCGAACGAGG